rnacentral:tRNA from 2 species
GUUUGGUAACCUGCAAGGAUACGGUUACGACCCGUAGUUAAAGUUUUAUUAACUUACUAUUCU